AUAUCAGCCCUCCUCUUUGGCGAACAAAAACAAAAAUAGCAAAUUAAUUGCGUAAUCGUGAGCCGUGAAAAUUUUGCUAAGGUUAAUUAGUACAUCAAAGGGGUGCUCGGCAAGCUAAAAAUGGCAACCGAUCGGUUACUAUAAGGGGACAAACGAGCAUGCGGCUCACCUGAUGGUAAGUGAUUACCGCCGCCCAUGAGCACCCGCAACACCAGGGGAAUUGCAGCGAAGGAAUCCAGGACUUCUAACUGAAGUAAAUAAAGCAACCUGAAAAUCGAUUGAAUAUUCCAGCUAAGCAGUUCUACAGCAUCUUU